GGCGGGGCUAGGGUGUGGCCUAGAGAGUCACGAGACGGAGAUAGUAGCUCUGGGUACCCUGGGGGCCUAGGAGUACAGCGAGGCCCUGGGUGUGUGUAGCCCCUCCCGGCGCUGGUUUCCUCAGAAAAUGUUUUAGUCUAGCUGCUUCCUUGGAGCGCUGGGGAGGGGUGGCAUCCAGCCUUGGGAGAGACACGGAUGUCCUCUGGAGAGGAGAGUGAGAACUUCACAGUGUCCUCAGAGCUCCGGGAGUUGGCAAAGCUGAUGAAGGAACAGUAGACGGCAACCCAAGCGCACCACUUCAGCUGGGAGAGAUUUGGUGACAGCGACAGGAUCCAAACCUCUGACAGUAUUCAGAGAGCAGAAACACAAGCAUGAUUAACCUCCUAUGAGAUCCUUCUGCCUUCACACCUAACUCUACAUCUCAAAUGCUGCAGUGUACUCAGUCCUGCUACAGCACUACUCUUGCCUGACAAAGAUGAGCCCAUGACUGCAUGGUUAAAGAAGGCUUCCCAGAUCCCAAUUCAAAGGAUCCUGUUUGGGCACAAUCUGGAGCCCGGUGACUGGGUAUUACAGAAACAUCAUCAGAGGAAAAUAGCCCUCAAGCCCCAUUGGAAGGGAUCUUACCAACUGCUCCUGACCAUGGACACUGCUGCGAAACUAGAAGGCACUGAGCCUUGGGUACACAUCUCAACAGCUAAGGAAGGCUCCACGGGACAUUUAGUCUUGCACAGAUGCUGGGGACCUCUGAAUCAAACUGAUGAGGAAGAGAAACAGCUGCCAUCAAAGUGGAUUGAUUGCUUCUGUCCCAGACACUGGAUCAAGACCAUACUUUAACUAAACAUGAAAGCUUUUCUCCUGUUUCUUUUCUUUACUCUGGCAUUAACCUGGAAAGAUAAUGCUCUCCCAGGCUAUUGCUAAGGGAGGUAACCUUUCAGACUGCUGGAUUUGUCAUCCAAGAUUCCAAUCUAUCCGUGACGCUGGAGACCCCCUGGUCCUUCCUGUGACCAAUUUCUCUUCUUCUUCUUCUUUUUUUUUUUUUUUUUUGUUUUGCUUUUUAGGGCCACACCCGAAGCAUAUGGAGGCCCACGUUCCCAUGAUAAUCUAGAUCAGAUUUGCCUCCACUCACUGAGAGAUCUCACCAGCAGAACCCAUCUUUGCAAGGUUUAGAAUAACACUUUAGACUGGGAGAUACUCUCCUCAUAUGUGCUGAAAAACUGACACCUGGCUUGAAUGGGUAAACACGGUAAUCUCUGUGAAUGAAUCCAUUAACAGCACCUCCUUAAUGGGAAUGGUUUGUCUUUGUCCAUGGUGGUUAUUAUUUUUCUUGGGCCUCUAAAUGCCUAGAUAGCCACUGCGGGCAAAGCCUCUUAGAUUAUCUAACUGUGCCCCUAACUGUCUACAAGCAAACUAACCUCAUUGGUCAACUCUCAGAUUUACAUCAUUGAGUUAGAAAGGACCUAAUGGAGAGGAUUUCACAACUCAGGGUUUAAUUCCCUUGGCAGGGCCCAUCGUGGCGCAGUGGUUAACGAAUCCGACUAGGAACCAUGAGGUUGUGGGUUCAAUCCCUGGCCUCACUCAGUGGGUUAAGGAUCCCCGGCAUUGCCGUGAGCUGUAGUGUAGGUCGAAGGCUGUGUUGCUGUGGCUGUGGCGUAGGCUGGUGGCUACAGUUCCAAUUAGACCCCUGGCCUGGGAACCUCCAUAUGCCGUGGGAGCGGCCCUAGAAAAGGCAAAAAGAAAAAAAAAGAACCUAGAGUCUCUGGCCAAAGUUGUUCUUUAUAAUAGGAUAGCCCUUAUCUUUUUUUUUUUUUUUUUUUCCAUUUUUGGCCACCCUGCAGCAUAUAUGGAGUUCCCGGGCAGGGAUCAGAUCCGAGCUGCAGUCAUGACCUAAGCUGCAACUGUAGCAAUACUAGAUCCUUAACCCACUGUGCAGGGCCAGAGAUGGAACCUGUGACCCAGCACUCCCAAGAUGCAGCCGAUCCUGUUGUGCCAUAGCAGGAACUCCAACCUUGGUUAUCUUUUAGCUGAGCAAGGAGUGUCUGUGCUGUGACCAACACCACCUGCUGCGCCUGGAUUAACUCUUCUGGGGAAGUUGAAACUCAGUUUCAUAAUAACCCAUAUGAGCAAAAAGUUUUUUAAAAAAAUUGCUAUAAGUAUGUGUAUAACUGAUUACUUUGCUACACACCUGAAACUAACACAGCAUUGUAAGUCAACUAUACUCCAAUGAAAUAAACAAUUUUCAAAAAA